UAUCGAUAUUUCUGCACUUCUACUACUCAAAUUAACAACGUUGCGUUACUGACAUUUUCGAUCAAAAUCAAAAGAAAAUUGCAACAAGAAACUUAAGGCAAGAAAAUAGAAAGCAGCCGUGAAAUAAGUCAAUUAAUUGUAUAAUUAACGCUUAGCAGCUUUAACAUAGAAAACAACGCACAAAGAUGGAGAACAACGAGUCACCCGCACCUUCUGGUUCCAACAACAAUGAUUUUCCCAUACUUCCGCCACCGCCAAACAACAACAACUACAACAACUUUAACGAUCCGUCGAACAGCAACAACAAUGCCGCCCAGAAGCGCCUGCAGCAGACACAGGCCAAAGUGGACGAAGUCGUUGGCAUUAUGCGCGUGAAUGUCGAGAAAGUGCUGGAACGUGAUCAGAAACUAUCGGAGCUGGGAGAGCGUGCCGAUCAAUUGGAACAGGGUGCCUCACAGUUUGAGCAGCAGGCGGGCAAACUGAAGCGCAAGCAAUGGUGGGCCAACAUGAAGAUGAUGAUCAUUCUGGGCGUCAUCGCUGUGGUCUUGCUCAUCAUCAUCAUAGUCUCAAUAUACAAUUGAUAAACACGAGAAAUAGAUAAAAACAAAAGUCUAAAAAAAACGUGCAGCAAGGCAACUUGUUGAACUUGCAACAUUACGCAUUACUCUAAGGCAGCUACUACCACAUACAUACACGCACACACACGCAGAUACAAAUCAAAAUUUAUGUAUUUGUGAACUAAAAAAAACAGUAUAAUAUAAAUGAAAACGUUUAUAGUCGAAAGGUAAAAAAAAAACAUUCGUCGUUUCGUGUUCUAUGUGCUAAUUUGUUUAUUUGCCCCGUUUAUAAGCCAAGUUAGCAACGAGAUAAUUUUUGUUUUAUAACUUGUACAUAUAGAUUUUGCGCCUUGCCAUCGAGCGACAGCAGCAGCAGCAACAGCGUUAAGGCAACGGAGCACGCCACGUAAGACGCCUCUUGCCACGCCCCCCCAAAAGCAACAUUCAGCAACAAAACCAGAAAGAAACUAACAACGAGGAAAAUGCGAUAGAACGAAACUCUGUUGCCUUCUGUAUUGGCCUUAUGUCUAAAGAAAACUUGUCUAAAAAACAAUUAAUAUUAACAAAACUUCAAAACCGAUUGUAAUUGUUAUUAAUAAUCCUUCGUCAAUGUUACCAACAAAACAUUAUAUGCACAAUUAACUAUUGUAAACGCAACAAUUUUGAUGCCAACCCUUUGCUGGCAUCGUUAAGAAAAUCGUUAAAAAAAAACAAUAAUAAUAAUGAGGCAUUUGAAAUGUCAAUGUGCGUGUGUGUGUGUGUGUAUGUGAACGUGAGAGGAUUUUCCUUUUGCAGCACAACAAAAAAAAAAAGAAAGAAAGAAAACUACAUUUAUAUAUACACAUAAUUGUAAACACCAGACAAACACACAACACAACGCGAUUGUUCUAUAAAUUAUUUAUACUUGUGUGGAACAAUUUAUACUUUAUACAUAUACAUAUAUCUAUAUAUAAUACAUAUAAACUUAAUGGCAUGUAAUUUGUUAUAAAAAAAAAAACAAACCAAACUUUUCGGUGUUGAAACUAAAUGUAUUGCAACGUACGUUUGCCACAAAGAAA